AAAACAUACAUCAUUUCUAUUGAUAUAGUUUUGAUAUGCUAGUUUUCAGAAUAUCUGUAAUUUGAAAUGAAAACAAGUCAAAAACGCGUAGAUAUUUUUAUACUGGGUUGAUAUUCUACGAGGGCUUACUAUUCACGCAAUGACUGGGUGAAAAGGAAGUAACGUCUACAAACUAUGAGACGGGAAAAAGGCGUAGAUAGGUGAAACAGAGUAACCUAAAACGUCUGAGCUGUUUUCGGCC